AGUAGGCCACAUACCAAUGAAUGCAUGAGUGUCAUCUGAUUUUGGAAGGUAAGCAGGAUCUGGCCUGGUUAGCACUUGGAUGGGAGACCACUGAGGAAUAACAAAGAUCUAGGA
rnacentral:rRNA from 1 species